rnacentral:rRNA from 1 species
CAUAGUGGUUUAAUUCGAAUGAUACGCGAGGAACCGUUACCUGGGCUCAAAUGUAUGUUGACGUAUUCUGAAAGGGAUACUUCUUCGGACAAUAUACAAGGUGCUGCACGGUUGUCGUCAGCUCGUGCCGUGAGGUGUCGGGUUAAGUCCCAUAACGAGCGCAACCCCUAUCAUUAGUUGCCAUCAGGUCAAGCUGGGGACUCUAAUGAAACUGCCUACGCAAGUAGUGAGGAAGGUGGGGAUGACGUCAAGUCAUCAUGGCCCUUAUGUCCAGGGCGACACACGUGCUACAAUGGCCGGCACAACGGGAAGCGAAGGGGCGACCCUGAGCGGAUCCCACAAAAGCCGGUCUCAGUUCGGAUUGCAGUCUGCAACUCGACUGCAUGAAGUUGGAAUCGCUAGUAAUCGUGGAUCAGCCAAGCCGCGGUGAAUACGUUCCCGGGCCUU